GGUCAUUUGGUCUAGUGGUAUGAUUUUUGAUUUAGGUGCAAGAGGUCCCGAGUUCGAUUCUCAGAAUGCCCC
rnacentral:tRNA from 1 species